rnacentral:tRNA from 1 species
GUGGGUAUAGCUAAGAAGUAGAGCGCAUACUUAGCAUGGUGUGAGGUUGUGGGUUCAAUCCCCAGUACCUCCA